rnacentral:rRNA from 1 species
GACGAACGCUGGCGGCGUGCCUAAUACAUGCAAGUCGAACGAUGAAACUUAGAUGAUUUCUUCGGAAUGAACUUAAGUGGAUUAGUGGCGAACGGGUGAGUAACACGUGGGGAACCUGCCCCUAAGUCUGGGAUACCAUUUGGAAACAGGUGCUAAUACCGGAUAAUAAAGCAAAUCGCAUGAUCAGCUUUUGAAAGGCGGCGUAAGCUGUCGCUAAGGGAUGGCCCCGCGGUGCAUUAGCUAGUUGGUAAGGUAACGGCUUACCAAGGCGACGAUGCGUAGCCGAGUUGGGAGACUGAUCGGCCACAUUGGGACUGAGACACGGCCCAAACUCCUACGGGAGGCAGCAGUAGGGAAUCUUCCACAAUGGACGCAAGUCUGAUGGAGCAACGCCGCGUGAGUGAAGAAGGUUUUCGGAUCGUAAAGCUCUGUUGUUGGUGAAGAAGGAUAGAGG